AUAUUUCUUUGGGGUUUUAGUGUUUUAUAAUUUCCUUUGAAGUUACAGUCGUAGUGUAGGUGUUAUAGUCCAUGUUUUAGUGCUUACAAUUUUAUAUGCUUUUUAAACUACCCAUAUAAUGUUCCUCAAUUAUAACCUGUGGCAGCUUUUGCUGCAUUGUCUUCUCAGUUUUGAGUUCAGUUGAUCAAUACCGUAUUGAAGCACUGUUAAUGGUUCCUGUCUGCGUCCUCCCCUGGCCUCCAGAUGGCUCAUGAUGCCCUCAAUGCCCCUCUGCACAUUCUCCGGGCCAUAUACGAACUGCAGAUGAAAAAGACCGAUUAUUUCUUCCUGGAGGUUCAGAAGAGGUUUGAUGGUGAUGAGCUCACCACAGAUGAAAGGAUACGGUCCCUGGCUCAGCGGUGGCAGCCCAGUAAGAGUCUGAGGCUGGAAGAGCAGAGCGCCAAAGCUGUGGAUACAGACAUGAUUAUCCUGCCAUGCUUGUCCCGGCCUGCACGCUGCGACCAAGCCACUGCUGAAUCGAACCCUGUGACCCAGAAGCUGAUCUCCAGCACAGAGAGCGAACU
rnacentral:sRNA from 1 species